rnacentral:rRNA from 1 species
CACGUAGGCGGUGCCGUAAGUCAGAUGUGAAAUCCCUCGGCCCAACCGAGGAACUGCGUCUGGUACUGCGGUGCUUGAGGACCAGAGGGGUGCAUGGAAUUUCCGGUGGAGCGGUGAAAUGCGUUGAUAUCGGAAGGAACUCCGGCGGCGAAAGCGAUGCACUGGCUGGUUUCUGACGCUGAGGUGCGAAAGCCAGGGGAGCAAACGGGAUUAGAUACCCCGGUAGUCCUGGCCGUAAACGAUGGGUACUAGGUAGGGGGAUUUCAAACGUCUCUCUGCUGGAGUGAAUAUAUUAAGUACCCCGCCUGGGAAGUACAGCCGCAAGGCUGAA